CCAGUAGUGUAUGCUUCUCCUAAAGACUAAGCCAUGCAUGCCUCCGAAUAGAAGAGCAAUUCUCUCUGAAUCUGCGAACGGCUCCGCAAACCAGUUGUAAACCAUAGCAAGCCCGCCUCGGGCCCGCCGCAAGGUGGGUCCUUGGCUAUAAGGAUAACCCUGGUAAUUCUGAGGCUAAUACAUGAACGUAACCCCUGGCUGACGGGCGACCGGAGGCUGGGGACCGUGCGAGUAAGCGCAAAGGUUAUUGGGAGUAGUCGCACAGUACGACCACCAUAUCAAACGGUAUCCGCUUCGCUGCCUCACGGCGGCUGGUGGUGUCCGGGUGGCUCUUGCAAGGUGCUUCUGACCUAUCAACUAGAUGGCAGCGUAACGGACAUGCUAUGGUGACAACGGGUACAGAGGAUAAGGGUUCGAUCCUGGAGAGUGGGCCUGAGAGAUUGCUCACACUUCUAAGGAAGGCAGCAGGCGCGCAACGUUCCCCUUGGGCAAUGCUCGAGGGCGUUAGGGGACAUAUGAAUGUCUGCCUUAUGGUGGACAAUUCAAAUGGGUCUGUUCUAAACAGCCUCUCGAGUAACAAUUAGAGGACAAGUCUGGUGCCAGCACCCGCGGUAAUUCCAGCUCUAAUAGCAUACGUUAAAGUUGUUGCGGUUAAAACGCUCGUAGUCGGCGCCAGAUCUUCAGAAUCCAGCGUCGGGGACCGGUCCGUUGCCCCGGUCAAGGGCACGCCGGCGACUGACAAAGGAGGACGUCGAUCAACCGUACCCGUGGCUGCUCCUUCGGGAUCGCAGGGCUGGAGGCUUGCCUUCGGCUCGGCUCGGGUGCCAUCUACCAUGAUUAAACCGGGGUGAUCAAAGCAUGUCUUUCGACACGUACGGCGCAGCAUGGUAUAUCUUCACUGGCCUUGCCCUAUUUGCGGGGGCUCGGCUGGUAAGAGCGAAAGGGAUGUUCGAGGGUGACCGAAUUGCCGGGCGAGUGGUGAAAUACGUUGACCCUGGCAAGUCGACCAAAGGCGAAAGCAGUCAUCAAGGGCAUACCCGUUGAUCAAGAGCGAAAGUUAAGGG
rnacentral:rRNA from 1 species